AUUGAACGCUGGCGGCAGGCCUAACACAUGCAAGUCGAACGGUAGCACAGAGAGCUUGCUCUCGGGUGACGAGUGGCGGACGGGUGAGUAACGUCUGGGAAACUGCCCGAUGGAGGGGGAUAACUACUGGAAACGGUAGCUAAUACCGCAUAACGUCGCAAGACCAAAGUGGGGGACCUUCGGGCCUCACACCAUCGGAUGUGCCCAGAUGGGAUUAGCUAGCAGGUGGGGUAAUGGCUCACCUAGGCGACGAUCCCUAGCUGGUCUGAGAGGAUGGCCAGCCACACUGGAACUGAGACACGGUCCACACUCCUACGGGAGGCAGCAGUGGGGAAUAUUGCACAAUGGGCGCAAGCCUGAUGCAGCCAUGCCGCGUGUAUGAAGAAGGCCUUCGGGUUGUAAAGUACUUUCAGCGGGGAGGAGGGCGGUGAAGUUAGUAACUUCACCGAUUGACGUUACCCGCAGAAGAAGCACCGGCUAACUCCGUGCCAGCAGCCGCCGUAA
rnacentral:rRNA from 1 species